rnacentral:misc_RNA from 1 species
GAAAUGCGAUAAGUAAUGUGAAUUGCAGAAUUCAGUGAAUCAUCGAAUCUUUGAACGCACCUUGCGCUCCUUGGUAUUCCAUGGAGCAUGCCUGUUUGAGUGUCACGUAAACCCUCACACUCGUGAUGUCAAAGUCACGAGGCGUGGACUUGGACCGUGCCGUAGAUGGCUCGUCCUGAAAUGUAUUAGCUUGCGCCUUUUUAGAGUGCUCGGCAUGGUGUGAUAAUUAUCUUCACCGUUCGCCUUAGGCCUCUUCUGUGAGCGCUGCUUCCAGCCGUCCCUCGUGGACAACACAUAAAGCUUUGGCCUCAAAUCAGGUAGGACUACCCGCUGAACUUAA